GGAGUCAGCAGGGACCAUGGGGAGGGGAAGACCGGCACAGGGGAGGCUGUGGGCCAGGGUCACUGUCCUGAAGCAGGUGCUCGGGGACAGGCUCAGACUCUAACUCUGGAGAGACGUCAGCCAAACCUCCAGGCAAACCUAGGAUGGAGACUUAGAAUAUAUAUAUUUGGGUCAUUGGGAGCAAAGCCAGUUUGAUGAUUGGGGGUGAAAGGUAUUCUUCCGAGGAGCCCCUUGAGGACGGGACAAGGAUUAGCCAUUCAACAGAAGCUUGAUACAGCAGUUACUUUGCGCCCAGCACAGAGGGUCAGAGUCAACCAAACUGCAGCAAGGUCACAGGAAGGAGAUACAGAAGUGAAUGUUUUUGUUUUCAUUGACAAGAUCUGGAAAAUCCUGAUCAUAAGAGGUGUGUUAUUGGACUGACAUUCCUGAGAAGUCACCCAGUCCUCUACGAAUAGCUGCCCCUGCUCAGAUACAAGGAAGAGAUGUGUUGGCAGGAGGACAGAUCCAGCUGGCUCUCAGAACUCAGUGCCGCAUCAGAACUGUCAGAGUCCCUUCACCAAUCCCAGUACUGCUGGUGCCGCUCAUUUCUGGACACUGUGGGUGCCACGGGAUCUGUAGUAACCAGUCAGCAGCAAUCAUCCUUCUAGAAGCUUCCAGUGUUUUCUGUCUAGACUAGAAUUAAGAUCUCAGAACACAGCCCUGGGGCCUCAGUGUGGGGCUUGGCUCCAGACCCGCUUGAUUCUGCCCAGCUGUGGGAUCCAUUGCCCUCAUUUCCGAGCAUGUGCUCCCUCCCACCAAGAGACUGGAAUUCUGGAAAGUGAGCCAAACAUGCACAUGUUUUUCCACUUCCACGGUGAAAGUUCGGGACUCACUGUCCGAUGGUCCUCCUGGGUGUCCAGGACUCCUCAACCCUGCCCAGUCACGGGCACAUCUCCAUCUUCAUGUCCUUGCCUCCCCUUCCACUUCUCUUGCAUCCACUGAAAUCCUAGGCAGCUCUUAAAAUGCAGGCUCUGAAAUUAGAAAACCCCAGAAGUUCUGAAAAAUUGCUGUUUCUGACAUUCCCUGUCUCAGAGCUUCUCACUGUGGGGCAGAGAUGGUGCCAGGGACCGCCGAUGUUUGUGAAGCUCCCCGGCCCACCUGAGGCCAGUGGUGCGUCCACUGCCUGCACUUUCUGCUGUCAGCCUUUCAGUUUCCGACAGGCAGAAUGCACCACUCUUUCCUCUCCAUCCUUCCUGCAUGGUCUGAAGGGCUGUUCUUCAGGCUCUGUCCCUCCAUGUCCAUUGCGUGAGGACAGGGACUAUGCCAUCAUCCGUUUGGUGACUCUGCCCUUGAUUCAGUGCCUAGCACAAUGCAGAAAAUGUGUGCUGCAUACAGAGUAUGCUUGGUGACAUAACCUGUAUUUGUAAUUCGAAAUUACAGUGUAAAACCUAGAAAUAGCAAAUAAAAUUCCACAGCUGCUCCUCUGUGCCACCCAAGAGUGGACAGUCUCUGCCUCUCCGGGCUUCAAGGAGCCUCAUCUCAUGCUGCUUCUCUUGGGAAGUGUGCAGUUCACAAGCGGUGACAUAAACAAAGGUAGCUGCCCUGAGACUGGGAGAAUCAGGACCAUACCGCACACACCUGAGGAAACACGGCAGCAUCAGCUCAGGGGUUUGGGCUGAGCUUUUUGCCUCCAUGCUGGGCUCUCACAGGCCACAGAGGCGUAGUCACACUUUCAUCCACAUGAAAAGCACUGGAGUGACAGGCCCCAGACUAGUUCCUAUAGAACAGUCACCGGAUAAGAAGAUGGGACUGUACUUGUAAAUUGCUUUCAAGGAAACUGGAGCCAUAAUUCCACAGAUGGAGAAGAAGAGGAGGAGGAGGAAGACAAAGAAUAAGAAGAGGAGAAAGAGAAAGAAGAGAAGAAGGAGGAGGAACAAGAGGAGGAGGAGGAGGGAGAAAGCUUACACAGAGAGCAAGGCUUCCAGGGAGGAACCAUUGUAGCUGGCUUCCCCGGGUCCACAGGAUGAAGUCCAGACUUGCAGUUGUCCUCAAGGCCUCACUGUCUUCCCCUUCCCUAGGGGCCAGCCUGGUUCCUGCAGCUCCUCAGAUGAGCCCUCAGCCUCUCUAACCGCGUGCUCUGAUGCUUGACCUCCAUAUGAAAUGUGGUUCCUCCCACUUCCAACCAUUUGGGUGCAGGCCUGGCCCUGCCUGGCCCCUUCCCACCUCUAUUCUAAGCCAUGUCCCCUCCUCCUGAACCCCUCACCCAGGUACUGUCCUCAGAACCUGCAGGGAACACUGCACUGAACCCCCAUUUCCUUAGACGUCAAUGUUCUGCCCUCUUAAGGACCAUGCAGUAGUCCCCUGUAGCCAUAGUUUUGCUUUCUGCAAACCUGUGGUCAACCAGGUCUGGAAGUAUGAAAACAAAAAAUUCCAAAGUAAACAAUUCCUCACUUUUAAAUCAUGCACCAUGUUGAGUAGCAUGAUAGAAUCUCAUCCUCUCCUGCUGCCCCUGACCCAGACAUGAUCAUUCUUCCAUCUGGGGUAUCCACUCUGUAUAUGCUACCCUCCUGUCAGUCACCCAGUAGCUGUCUUAGUUACCAGAUCCCUGUCACAGUAUCAUAGUGACUUGGUUCAAGUUGUCUUUAUUUGAUCUAUUUUUUAUUCUAUUAAUUGUUCUGUUUUGUUAUUGGUCAAUUGUUAGUCCUUUACUAUGCUUAAUUUAUAAAUUGAAUUUUGUCAUGGGAAUAUAUAGGAAAAAACAUAGCGUAAGUCUAUACAGGGCUUCACCAUACACACUAGAGCCACUGGAGGCCUUUGAAGGCACAUUUUACAGAUAAUAUGACUCUGUCUACAUGUCUUUUUAAAUCCCCAGUGCUCAGCAGUGCCUGGGCUCUGCUUAGAGAAGGUGGUCAUUUCCAGCUAGGGGGAGGGGAUCAGCAAAGACUUCCAGAGGAUGCUACAAAGGGAAGCCUCAGUGAUGGCUCUGUCCCCAUGGCUCCUGGGAUCUGUAAAUCCAUGUUCCAUAUUUUGGGACAGUGAAGAGAGGGGCCUGUGGCUUCUGGCCUUAGCUCUGGGCAGCUCUGAAUGCCCUGCCUUCCCUCCUGAAAGCCUGGACAGCAUCACCAACCAUCCUCCUGGGACCACUUAUUCUGAGGUUGAGUUCUUUGGAGCUCUCUCCUCUCUGCAGCCUGGGCUUCCCUCUGCACUUUCCCCAGAGGGAAUGAGCCAGGGUGUGUGAGCACCAUGACACCCCUCUGUGCCCAGCCCUCAUCUCUCCUGAACUCCUGGCCAUAAUCAAGCUGCUUCCAGACACUCCAUCUGCAUGUCCCCAAGCACCCUCCUCCCCCUUCCUCCCAGCCAGGCCUCCUCCUCUUUCUCAGUUUCUGUCAGUGAAGGGGUCCCUUCCAGCAAAGGAAGUCAGGGAUCAGGGUGGCGGGGAUGACUUUUAUCAGCAUCGUUCUGCUCUGUGUGCCUAUUGACUCUGCCUGUUGCCUCUUCCAUCUAUCUGCUUCUCACCUUCCUACCGGCACUGCCUGAGUCUAAGCACCGUGACUUCCUGUCUGCACCACUGCCCUCUCUAAUCCACCCGCUGACUGCAGGCCAAAGUGACAUUUCUGAAAGUCACAUGUGAUCAUGUCACGUUUCCUCUCAAAGCUCCUCAAGUCUUCCAAGGUUCCUAGGAAAAAGUCAAGUUUCUUUAUGAAAACCCUUGGCUAUGGGUUCCCUUCUAACCUCUCCCUCUCCCCCACCUGCCAGCCCACUGCUCCCCACCCUGCACUCAGCUCCAGCCUCCUGGCCCCUUGGUUGCUCAAACCCCCAUUCUCCUCUCACCUCCAAGUCUCUUCAGAUUCUGCUGCCACCACCCAUCCCCACACUUCCUGCAGUCACACAUGUGCACACCCCCUUCUGCCCACCUCCCACUGCCUGAGACUGAGAUCCUUGGCCUUCAUGGCCCUAGCAGCUUCUGCUGACCUCUUGCUGACCCCUGCUCCCUCUUGGGUCCCCCCACUCCACAGCCUUAGAUCACCAGCAGUCCUGUGCUCAGUGAGAGUCUGCUUGGAGAGUGGGUUCAUGGAUGGAUGGAUGGAUGGAUGGAUGUACACAGAGAUGGACGGAUAGAUGGACA